UUUCCCGCUUAGCCCAACCCAAAAGUCCAGUUUGAAACAUUCUUCAAGUCAUUGAGCACUUCUAGCUCAACUGUAGGGGUCGUCCAGGCAAAAAAAAAAAACGACGUAACAACAAUUUUCCCCAACCCAUUGCCCACUUAGCCCAACCCAUGAUGAUGAUAAAUAAGAGAGCACAUCCCCCAUGGGUUAAUGAUGCCAUCUUUUAGCUAAUUAAAUUCCCUACAAAACGCUUCUAACAGAUCUGAUAAAUUCGUUUCCCACGCGGAGAUAUCGCCCUGCAACCAUUUGUACUAACUGACAUUUUUGAACGCAUCCCCAAUCACGAGAAAUUCUAGCAGAGUUUGUUUUGCUAGAAUCCUGCUAGAAUAAUUCUAGCAGGCCUGUCAGAAUUUUGUCGGAAUUUUCUGACAGAGCGAAAUCUGACAGAAAUCUGUAAGAAUUUAGUUAGAAGACUCUGACAGAGCAAAACCAGCGAAAAUGACGUCAUUUUUGCUGAACCGCUUCGCAAUUUCCGACCACCAUCUUGAAAGCGAACGUGUUCGCACAAGUUUUGAUUGGUCUUCCAAUCGAAGAAGAUGCUGUUCCUGUAUAGUUCCGGUGCCGUUCCUUCAUCCACCCGUGCUGUGAAACAGGAACCGUGUGACGUCGGAGAACAUCCGGAUCUAGUAGGAAAACGACGACGAUGUCUGCACGGUGGCCAAGAACAUCGAAAUUCGGUGCCGACGGCGAGGAAAAAAGGGCCGGAUUCUUCGGACAGAAGAAAUGACGCAAGCUGCCUACUCCGCUGCAAGA